rnacentral:rRNA from 1 species
AGACCCGAAACCCGGUGAUCUAGCCAUGGGCAGGUUGAAGGUUGGGUAACACUAACUGGAGGACCGAACCGACUAAUGUUGAAAAAUUAGCGGAUGACCUGUGGCUGGGGGUGAAAGGCCAAUCAAACCGGGAGAUAGCUGGUUCUCCCCGAAAGCUAUUUAGGUAGCGCCUCGUGAAUUCAUCUCCGGGGGUAGAGCACUGUUUCGGCUAGGGGGCCAUCCCGGCUUACCAACCCGAUGCAAACUGCGAAUACCGGAGAAUGUUAUCACGGGAGACACACGGCGGGUGCUAACGUCCGUCGUGAAGAGGGAAACAACCCAGACCGCCAGCUAAGGUCCCAAAGUCAUGGUUAAGUGGGAAACGAUGUGGGAAGGCCCAGACAGCCAGGAUGUUGGCUUAGAAGCAGCCAUCAUUUAAAGAAAGCGUAAUAGCUCACUGGUCGAGUCGGCCUGCGCGGAAGAUGUAACGGGGCUAAACCAUGCACCGAAGCUGCGGCAGCGAACGUAUCACCCAAGACAACUUUACGGAGUUGACGAUUGACGGAGCGAAGCGACGUCAAAGCGUUCAUUAAAGUCGAGUUGGCUUAGGGAUACGUUCGUUGGGUAGGGGAGCGUUCUGUAAGCCUGUGAAGGUGUGUCGUGAGGCAUGCUGGAGGUAUCAGAAGUGCGAAUGCUGACAUAAGUAACGAUAAAGCGGGUGAAAAGCCCGCUCGCCGGAAGACCAAGGGUUCCUGUCCAACGUUAAUCGGGGCAGGGUGAGUCGACCCCUAAGGCGAGGCCGAAAGGCGUAGUCGAUGGGAAACGGGUUAAUAUUCCCGUACUUGGUGUUACUGCGAAGGGGGGACGGAGAAGGCUAUGUUGGCCGGGCGACGGUUGUCCCGGUUUAAGCGUGUAGGUGUGUGUUCCAGGUAAAUCCGGUUCACUUUAACACUGAGGCGUGAUGACGAGGCACUACGGUGCUGAAGCAACAAAUGCCCUGCUUCCAGGAA